CAGGGAAUCUUGCACAAUGGGCGAAAGCCUGAUGCAGCGACGCCGCGUGGGGGAUGAAGGCCUUAGGGUCGUAAACCCCUUUCAGCAGGGACGAAAAUGACGGUACCUGCAGAAGAAGCCCCGGCCAACUACGUGCCAGCAGCCGCGGUAAGACGUAGGGGGCGAGCGUUGUCCGGAUUUAUUGGGCGUAAAGAGCUCGUAGGCGGUUGCGUAAGUCGGAUGUGAAAACUCAGGGCUCAACCCUGAGACGCCAUCCGAUACUGCGCUGACUUGAAUCCAGUAGGGGAGUGUGGAAUUCCUGGUGUAGCGGUGAAAUGCGCAGAUAUCAGGAGGAACACCCAUGGCGAAGGCAGCACUCUGGGCUGGUAUUGACGCUGAGGAGCGAAAGCAUGGGUAGCGAACAGGAUUAGAUACCCUCGUAGUCCCUGAGCGGGCUGGCAAGGCGCAU
rnacentral:rRNA from 1 species